rnacentral:misc_RNA from 1 species
GAUGAAGAACGUAGCAAAAUGCGAUAAGUAAUGUGAAUUGCAGAAUUCAGUGAAUCAUCGAAUCUUUGAACGCACAUUGCGCCCGCCAGUAUUCUGGCGGGCAUGCCUGUUCGAGCGUCAUUACAACCCUCAGGCCCCCGGGCCUGGCGUUGGGGAUCGGCAGAAGCCCCCUGUGGGCACACGCCGUCCCUCAAAUACAGUGGCGGUCCCGCCGCAGCUUCCAUUGCGUAGUAGCUAACACCUCGCAACUGGAGAGCGGCGCGGCCAUGCCGUAAAACACCCAACUUCUGAAUGUUGACCUCGAAUCAGGUAGGAAUACCCGCUGAACUUAAGCAUAUCAAUAAGCGGAGGA